rnacentral:lncRNA from 1 species
CAGGCUGGAGUGCCGUGGCAUGAUCCCUGCUCACUGCAGCUCCUGCCUCCCCAGUUCAAGCGAUUCUCCUGACUCAACCUCCCGAGUAGCUGGGAUUAUAGGCACCUGCCACGAUGCCUGGCUAAUUUUGCGGUUUUAGUAGAGACGUGUUUCACCAUGUUGACCAGGCUGGUCUCAAACUCCUGAGCUCAAGUGGUCCACCCACCUUGGCCCCCCAAAGUGCUUGGGAUUACAGGCACGAGCCACCGUGCCCAGCUGAGAGAGGGAGAGCGUGUCAAGCUGAGGACACAGAAGUGUGUGCAAAGGCAGAAGACAACAUGGGGCACUUUAGGCUGGGCAUGGUUCAGAGCAGGAGUUGGAGUUCAGAGACCAGCGAGGUCCAGGAGCUGAUCAUCAACAAAGAUCCCACACUACUGGACAACUUCCUGGACGUGAGUGACUGACAGAAGAUAAAGGGGUGUGGUGUAGGGGAAACGGGAUGUGGAACCUAAUGUAGCCCUGAUCCGCUUUCUCUCUUGACAUUGGCAGGAGAUCAUCGCAUUCCAAGCAGACAAGUCAAUCGAAGUACGAAAAUUUGUCAUCGGCUUCAUCGAGGAGGCAUGGUAUGGGGUGAGGCAGGGAGCCCCAGGAGCAUUCUCACUGGAGGCAGCCUUCAGGUCCUGGCCUGGUCUGGAGGCCACCACUGAGAGGCCUGCCUUCUGCUUCCCAGACCCUUUCUCUCUCUCUUGCACACUGAUUCCCCAGUAAAUAUUUAGUAAGAUCGAAACCCUGGGGUCAUCUAUGAUUCCUCUGGUUCUUCCACACUUCACAUCUACAUCGUCACUAAGGACUGUGGGCUCUACUUUGAGAAUAUCUGCAGCAUCUGACCAUUUGUCAAUCGCUUCCUCUACCACUACACAGACCCAAGCCACCCUUCCCG